CAUACCACUAAUGCACCGGAUCCCAUCGGAACUCUGUAGUUAAGCGCGCUCAGGCUGGAGUAGUACUGGGAUGGGUGACCUCCCGGGAAGUCCCGGUGCU
rnacentral:rRNA from 1 species